CGGGACGUGGCGCAGUCUGGUAGCGCACCGGGCUGGGGGUCCGGUGGCCGCCGGUUCGAAUCCGGCCGUCCCGACCA
rnacentral:tRNA from 1 species